GACUCUCCAUUUCUUUUCCCUCCCUAGAAUCAUUGCGAUGAUGAGUCCAGAGGACAGCUGGGUCUCCAAGUGGCAGCGAGUCAGUAACUUUAAGCCAGGUGUAUAUGCGGUGUCAGUCACUGGUCGCCUGCCCCAAGGAAUCGUGCGGGAGCUGAAAAGUCGAGGAGUGGCCUACAAAUCCAGAGACACAGCUAUUAAGACCUAGCAAGAUGCAGGGCUGCCAGCAUCUUUGCUCUCCACCUCCUGCCUCUGCUUAUUUCUUGUUCUGGAACUAAAUGAACAGAACUUCAAAUGAACAGAACCUCCAAUUCAGACUCAGCUGACUGUUGAGAGAGCAGCACAUCAUUUUAUCAUUUUAUCUUCUUUGGACUACAGGUGGGGUGGGAGGGAUUUGGAUUGGUGGAUUAACAGAUAGAAUUGAGGAGAGAGUAGGAUGCUGAUUUUCCUACCCGUGGCCCAGGUCUGUGCCUUCCCCAUGCCAAGGACUCUAGGUCAAAUGUCAAUAAAUACGAACCUCGAGAAAGUUCUGAAGGCCAUG
rnacentral:sRNA from 1 species